AGAGUUUGAUCCUGGCUCAGAACGAACGCUGGCGGCGUGGAUAAGACAUGCAAGUCGAACGAGAGAAUUGCUAGCUUGCUAAUAAUUCUCUAGUGGCGCACGGGUGAGUAACACGUGAGUAACCUGCCCCCGAGAGCGGGAUAGCCCUGGGAAACUGGGAUUAAUACCGCAUAGUAUCGAAAGAUUAAAGCAGCAAUACGCUUGGGGAUGGGCUCGCGGCCUAUUAGUUAGUUGGUGAGGUAACGGCUCACCAAGGCGAUGACGGGUAGCCGGUCUGAGAGGAUGUCCGGCCACACUGGAACUGAGACACGGUCCAGACACCUACGGGUGGCAGCAGUCGAGAAUCAUUCACAAUGGGGGAAACCCUGAUGGUGCGACGCCGCGUGGGGGAAUGAAGGUCUUCGGAUUGUAAACCCCUGUCAUGUGGGAGCAAAUUAAAAAGAUAGUACCACAAGAGGAAGAGACGGCUAACUCUGUGCCAGCAGCCGCGGUAAUACAGAGGUCUCAAGCGUUGUUCGGAAUCACUGGGCGUAAAGCGUGCGUAGGCUGUUUCGUAAGUCGUGUGUGAAAGGCGCGGGCUCAACCCGCGGACGGCACAUGAUACUGCGAGACUAGAGUAAUGGAGGGGGAACCGGAAUUCUCGGUGUAGCAGUGAAAUGCGUAGAUAUCGAGAGGAACACUCGUGGCGAAGGCGGGUUCCUGGACAUUAACUGACGCUGAGGCACGAAGGCCAGGGGAGCGAAAGGGAUUAGAUACCCCUGUAGUCCUGGCAGUAAACGGUGCACGCUUGGUGUGCGGGGAAUCGACCCCCUGCGUGCCGGAGCUAACGCGUUAAGCGUGCCGCCUGGGGAGUACGGUCGCAAGAUUAAAACUCAAAGAAAUUGACGGGGACCCGCACAAGCGGUGGAGUAUGUGGCUUAAUUCGAUGCAACGCGAAGAACCUUACCUGGGCUUGACAUGUAAUGAACAACAUGUGAAAGCAUGCGACUCUUCGGAGGCGUUACACAGGUGCUGCAUGGCCGUCGUCAGCUCGUGUCGUGAGAUGUUUGGUUAAGUCCAGCAACGAGCGCAACCCCUGUUGCCAGUUACCAGCACGUGAAGGUGGGGACUCUGGCGAGACUGCCCAGAUCAACUGGGAGGAAGGUGGGGACGACGUCCGGUCAGUAUGGCCCUUAUGCCCAGGGCUGCACACGUACUACAAUGCCCAGUACAGAGGGGGCCGAAGCCGCGAGGCGGAGGAAAUCCUAAAAACUGGGCCCAGUUCGGACUGUAGGCUGCAACCCGCCUACACGAAGCCGGAAUCGCUAGUAAUGGCGCAUCAGCUACGGCGCCGUGAAUACGUUCCCGAGUCUUGCACACACCG
rnacentral:rRNA from 1 species